rnacentral:rRNA from 1 species
GGUUCCUACGGGAGGCAGCAGUGGGGAAUAUUGCACAAUGGGGGAAACCCUGAUGCAGCAACGCCGCGUGAAGGAAGACGGUUUUCGGAUUGUAAACUUCUGUUCUUAGUGAAGAAUAAUGACGGUAGCUAAGGAGCAAGCCACGGCUAACUACGUGCCAGCAGCCGCGGUAAUACGUAGGUGGCAAGCGUUGUCCGGAAUUACUGGGUGUAAAGGGUGUGUAGGCGGGGCUGCAAGUCAGAUGUGAAAAUUAUGGGCUCAACCCAUAACCUGCGUCUGAAACUGUAGCUCUUGAGUGUGGGGGG